rnacentral:rRNA from 1 species
UAGCUAGUUGGUGAGGUAAAGGCUUACCAAGGCGACGAUCUAUAGCGGGUCUGAGAGGAUGAUCCGCCACACUGGAACUGAGACACGGUCCAGACUCCUACGGGAGGCAGCAGUGGGGAAUUUUGGACAAUGGGGGCAACCCUGAUCCAGCCAUGCCGCGUGAGUGAAGAAGGCCUUCGGGUUGUAAAGCUCUUUCGGCCGGGAAGAAAUCGCAUGGGCCAAUACCCUGUGUGGAUGACGGUACCGGAAUAAGAAGCACCGGCUAACUACGUGCCAGCAGCCGCGGUAAUACGUAGGGUGCGAGCGUUAAUCGGAAUUACUGGGCGUAAAGCGUGCGCAGGCGGUUUUGUAAGACAGGCGUGAAAUCCCCGGGCUUAACCUGGGAACUGCGUUUGUGACUGCAAGGCUAGAGUACGGCAGAGGGGGGUGGAAUUCCACGUGUAGCAGUGAAAUGCGUAGAGAUGUGGAGGAACACCAAUGGCGAAGGCAGCCCCCUGGGUCGAUACUGACGCUCAUGCACGAAAGCGUGGGUAGCAAACAGGAUUAGAUACCCUGGUAGUCCACGCCCUAAACUAUGUCAACUAGGUGUUGGGUGGGUAAAACCAUUUAGUACCGUAGCUAACGCGUGAAGUUGACCGCCUGGGGAGUACGGCCGCAAGGUUAAAACUCAAAGGAAUUGACGGGGACCCGCACAAGCGGUGGAUGAUGUGGAUUAAUUCGAUGCAACGCGAAGAACCUUACCUACCCUUGACAUGCCAGGAACUUGCCAGAGAUGGCUUGGUGCCCGAAAGGGAGCCUGGACACAGGUGCUGCAUGGCUGUCGUCAGCUCGUGUCGUGAGAUGUUGGGUUAAGUCCCGCAACGAGCGCAACCCUUGUCGUUAAUUGCCAUCAUUUAGUUGGGCACUUUAACGAGACUGCCGGUGACAAACCGGAGGAAGGUGGGGAUGACGUCAAGUCCUCAUGGCCCUUAUGGGUAGGGCUUCACACGUCAUACAAUGGUCGGUACAAAGGGUUGCCAAGCCGCGAGGCGGAGCCAAUCCCAGAAAGCCGAUCGUAGUCCGGAUUGCAGGCUGCAACUCGCCUGCAUGAAGUCGGAAUCGCUAGUAAUCGUGGAUCAGCAUGUCACGGUGAAUACGUUCCCGGGUCUUGUACACACCGCCCGUCACACCAUGGGAGCGGGUUCCGCCAGAAGUAGGUAGCCUAACCGCAAGGGGGGCGCUUACCACGGCGGGGUUCGUGACUGGGGUGAAGUCGUAACAAGGUAGCCGUAGGGGAACCUGCGGCUG